rnacentral:rRNA from 1 species
GUGGGGAAUUUUGGACAAUGGGCGCAAGCCUGAUCCAGCAAUGCCGCGUGCAGGAAGAAGGCCUUCGGGUUGUAAACUGCUUUUGUACGGAACGAAACGGUCCGGGUUAAUACCCUGGGCUAAUGACGGUACCGUAAGAAUAAGCACCGGCUAACUACGUGCAAGCAGCCGCGGUAAUACGUAGGGUGCAAGCGUUAAUCGGAAUUACUGGGCGUAAAGCGUGCGCAGGCGGUUUUGUAAGACAGGCGUGAAAUCCCCGGGCUCAACCUGGGAAUUGCGCUUGUGACUGCAAGGCUGGAGUGCGGCAGAGGGGGAUGGAAUUCCGCGUGUAGCAGUGAAAUGCGUAGAUAUGCGGAGGAACACCGAUGGCGAAGGCAAUCCCCUGGGCCUGCACUGACGCUCAUGCACGAAAGCGUGGGGAGCAAACAGGAUUAGAAACCCCUGUAGUCC